rnacentral:lncRNA from 10 species
UGGAUAUGUUACUGUAGGAGACUUCUCAGGUUUCUUUUAGAUCAGAGGUCAGCAAACUUUUUCAGGAAAGGGCUGGAGAGUAAAUAUUUUUGCCUUUUGUGGGCCACACGGUCUCUGUUGCAACUGUUCGUCUCUGGCCUUGUAGCACUAAAGCAACCACAGAAUACAUAAACAAAUGUGUGUAGCUGUAUUUCAAUAAAACUCUAGAUACCAAAACAAGCGAUGGGCCAGAUGUGGUCUACAAGCUAACUGUAGUUUGCCAUGUACGUUCCUUGGGUCUAUUCACAUUUUCCUCCAUUCAACGUUUACUGAAAAGCUGUUAUCUAUUUAAAGACAUUUAGAAUAAAGAGCCAGCCUCUGCCUUGAGCCUAGGGAGGAGCCAGGAACAUAAACACACAAGCCAGCAGGAUACAAUGUGAACAACACUGUGAUCAAGGAGAUUGGAGAAGGCUUCUUAGGGGAGUAACAGCUGAGUUAGGAUUCUGCAGAAUGAAUAUGCAGUUUUCCAGAUUCAGGAAAGGUUUUAUCUAGGGAAACAUAAUAGCACACAUAAGGUGACGUGUGUUUAUGGCAGCCGGGGAGUACUGUGGUGGUGAUAGUGGGAAGUGAGAUGGCAAAGAGGAAAAGGGCCAGAUGAUGAUUAAAUGCCUUACCUGCCGCAGUGAGAGCAUACACACAUGCUCUGAUAGCACUUCUUAGACGGGAAUUCUGAGGGUCAAAGCAUGCCAUCCUGGGGUUGGCCCAUGGCAGCACCAGCCAUGAAGAGCAGCCAGCCUGGCAGGUGUGGAGAGGCCCCAGAGAACCACAGAAGCAGCCGCAGAAGUGAUGAGUGAGCAAUCUCCAGGGAAAUGCCACAAGACUAGGCCGUGCAACAUUUCCGCAGUGCUCCUCGCUACAAAGACAUUCCCCUAAGGCUGGUGGGCAACUCAACACUCAGCUCAGUACGUGGUCAGCUCGUCCUCCAUAGGAGCCUUAUGCCUUGGUGAGGAGAUCUCUGAAGAAAUUGCUGAUGAAAGUCCAACAGGCUCUUCCAGUUUGUCUGGUCGGUCACAUUUGCUGAAACCUGGAGGAAUUGUUAGUGGAAGCUCAACAGGCCUGACUCAGUCUGACUGUCCAUUCUUCUGGAAGCUGCAGAGAAAAGAAACCUGGAAACCUUAUAUGCUGACAAAAAGGGACACAAUUGGAUAUGAUGGUUAUUUUACCAAGGUUUUGAAAUGUCGUGCUUUCAAAUAUAAACAGACUGCUUUAAGGAAUCGAAGUUGACUUAUAGAGCCAAUAAAAGCCCUGCAGGAAAGCUGGCCUCAUACUUUGUCUACACAGUCUCUGUACAGGUUUCCUGACCUGUGGCUGGAGUGGAAUUGCGCGAUAUCGGC